rnacentral:rRNA from 1 species
GCUGGUCUGAGAGGACGACCAGCCACACUGGAACUGAGACACGGUGGAACCAACGGGUGGCAGCAGUCGAGAAUUUUUCACAAUGGGGGAAACCCUGAUGGAGCGACGCCGCGUGGGGGAUGAAGGGCUUCGGUUCGUAAACCCCUGUCAUUGGCGAACAAGUGUUACGUUAUAAUACAGCGUGACUUGAUAGUAGCCGAAGAGGAAGGGACGGCUAACUCUGUGCCAGCAGCCGCGGUAAUACAGAGGUCCCGAGCGUUGUUCGGAUUCACUGGGCGUAAAGGGUGCGUAGGUGGUUGGGUAAGUUUGAGGUGAAAGCUCCGAGCUUAACUCGGAAAAUGCCUUGAAGACUAUCUGACUAGAGGAUUGGAGGGGAGACUGGAAUUC